UCGAGCAGGGUCGAAAGACGGACUUAGUGAUCCGGUGGUUCCGCAUGGAAGGGCCAUCGCUCAACGGAUAAAAGCUACCCCGGGGAUAACAGGCUUAUCUCCCCCAAGAGUUCACAUCGACGGGGAGGUUUGGCACCUCGAUGUCGGCUCAUCGCAUCCUGGGGCUGUAGUCGGUCCCAAGGGUUGGGCUGUUCGCCCAUUAAAGCGGUACGCGAGCUGGGUUCAGAACGUCGUGAGACAGUUCGGUCCCUAUCCGUCGUGGGCGUAGGAAAUUUGAGAGGAGCUGUCCUUAGUACGAGAGGACCGGGAUGGACAUACCUCUGGUGUACCAGUUGUCGUGCCAACGGCAUAGCUGGGUAGCUAUGUGUGGACGGGAUAAGUGCUGAAAGCAUCUAAGCAUGAAGCCCCCCUCAAGAUGAGAUUUCCCAACUUCGGUUAUAAGAUCCCUCAAAGAUGAUGAGGUUAAUAGGUUCGAGGUGGAAGCAUGGUGACAUGUGGAGCUGACGAAUACUAAUCGAUCGAAGACUUAAUCAA
rnacentral:rRNA from 1 species